rnacentral:rRNA from 1 species
GCUAAUCCCUUAAAGCCAUUCUCAGUUCGGAUUGUAGGCUGAAACUCGCCUACAUGAAGCUGGAGUUACUAGUAAUCGCAGAUCAGAAUGCUGCGGUGAAUGCGUUCCCGGGUCUUGUACACACCGCCCGUCACACCACGGAAGUUGGGGGCGCCCGAAGCCACUUAGCUAACCCUUUUGGGAAGCGAGUGUCGAAGGUGAAAUCAAUAACUGGGGUGAAGUCGUAACAAGGUACC